UCGAUUAUUGCUCCUCAAAUAGAGAUUAAUGUUCCUACUCCCAAGAGUAACCAAAGGUAAUAAUGGUUAUUUUGAAGUAGAGCUGUGAAUUUUAACACAUACACACACACACACAACAUAUGUGCCAAGUAGAUGCCCAGUACCAUGACAUUUGUUCUAUGUCUAACACAAAUGGAUAUAUGAAUCAUACCGUAGAUGUAUUGUUGCGUAUUCAUUAAAUGAUCAGGUCUUUUUGUUCUCAACUUUCUCAUGGAUGCAAAUGUUUGCUUUGAUACUACUAUAUCUCCAUUCCAGUUGUCUUCAUUUGUUCUGCUUCAUGGUUUCCAAAAUGUUGCUCAUCUCUAAUUAUUUUGUUUUCUUCCGUCAAUGUGCAGG
rnacentral:lncRNA from 1 species